UACAGAGGUCCCAAGCGUUGUUCGGAUUCACUGGGCGUAAAGGGUGCGUAGGUGGUCGGGUAAGUCUGAUGUGAAAUCUCCGAGCUCAACUCGGAAAUGGCAUUGGAUACUAUCCGGCUAGAGGGUCGGAGGGGGGACUGGAAUUCUCGGUGUAGCAGUGAAAUGCGUAGAUAUCGAGAGGAACACCAGUGGCGAAGGCGAGUCCCUGGACGACUCCUGACACUGAGGCACGAAAGCUAGGGGAGCAAACAGG
rnacentral:rRNA from 1 species